rnacentral:rRNA from 1 species
UGGGGAAUAUUGCACAAUGGGCGCAAGCCUGAUGCAGCCAUGCCGCGUGUGUGAAGAAGGCCUUCGGGUUGUAAAGCACUUUCAGCGAGGAGGAAGGUGGUGAACUUAAUACGUUCAUCAAUUGACGUUACUCGCAGAAGAAGCACCGGCUAACUCCGUGCCAGCAGCCGCGGUAAUACGGAGGGUGCAAGCGUUAAUCGGAAUUACUGGGCGUAAAGCGCACGCAGGCGGUUUGUUAAGUCAGAUGUGAAAUCCCCGGGCUCAACCUGGGAACUGCAUUUGAAACUGGCAAGCUAGAGUCUCGUAGAGGGGGGUAGAAUUCCAGGUGUAGCGGUGAAAUGCGUAGAGAUCUGGAGGAAUACCGGUGGCGAAGGCGGCCCCCCUGGACGAAGACUGACGCUCAGGUGCGAAAGCGUGGGGAGCAAACAGAUUAGAUACCCUGGUAGUCCACGCUGUAAACGAUGUCGAUUUGGAGGUUGUGCCCUUGAGGCGUGGCUUCCGGAGCUAACGCGUUAAAUCGACCGCC